ACUCAAAGGAAUAGACGGGGGCCCGCACAAGCGGUGGAUCAUGUGGUUUAAUUCGAAGCAACGCGAAGAACCUUACCUGGGUUUGACAUCCCCGGACAGUGGCAGAAACGCCAUUUUCGUAGCAAUACGACCGGGAGACAGGUGCUGCAUGGCUGUCGUCAGCUCGUGUGGUGACAUGUUGGGUUAAGUCCCGCAACGAGCGCAACCCUUGUCUUUAGUUGCCAGCAUUAAGUUGGGCACUCUAGAGAGACUGCCGUGGUUAACACGGAGGAAGGUGGGGAUGACGUCAAGUCCUCAUGGCCUUUAUAUCCAGGGCGACACACGUGAUACAAUGGUCGGUACAGAGGGAAGCGAAGUGGCAACACGGAGCCAAUCUCAAAAAGCCGAUCUCAGUUCGGAUUGGAGUCUGCAACUCGACUCCAUGAAGUUGGAAUCGCUAGUAAUCGCGGAUCAGAACGCCGCGGUGAAUACGUUCCCGGGCCUUGCACACACCGCCCGU
rnacentral:rRNA from 1 species